UACGGGGGGGGCAAGCGUUGUUCGGAAUUACUGGGCGUAAAGGGCUCGUAGGUGGCCAACUAAGUCAGACGUGAAAUCCCUCGGCUUAACCGGGGAACUGCAUCUGAUACUGGAUGGCUUGAGUUUGGGAGAGGGAUGCGGAAUUCCAGGUGUAGCGGUGAAAUGCGUAGAUAUCUGGAGGAACACCGGUGGCGAAGGCGGCAUCCUGGACCAAUUCUGACACUGAGGAGCGAAAGCCAGGGGAGCAAACGGG
rnacentral:rRNA from 1 species